CAGUGGUUGACUGGUUAAGUGAUGUUCACCUCACUGAUGCCCAUUAUGGGGCGUCCAUGGUCAAAUGGUUAAAUGAUGUUCAACUUACUGAUUUUGGUUUAAGAGGCGUCCGUGGCCAAGUAGUUAAAUGACGUUCAACUCACUGAUUCUGGUUAUGGGGCGUCCGUGGCCAAGUGGUUAAAUGACGUUCAACUCCCUGAUUCUGGUUAUGGGGUGUCCAUGGCCAAGUGGUUAUUGGCCGUCCGUGGCCAAGUGGUUAAAUGACAUUCAACUCACUGAUUCCUGUUAUGGGGUGUCCAUGGCCAUGUGGGUUUAAUGACGUUCAGCUCACUGAUUCCGGUUUUUAUGCCAACAUAGAUGUUGAAUGUCCCUUUUCAAUGUGAGGACGCUGCAUCAUCCAGCAUGAUGACCAAGUGUUUACCUACAGAAGAUAAAAUGCCAUUUUAAAGUGAUCAAAAUGACAAAAUAGCAUUGUGUGGCGUGUUACUGGAUGAAAGACAUGGCGCUAAAUAUCUCCAUUACAUGCUGUCCCAGGAUAUAAGUAUGUUGUGAAGACAGUUUGGAUAAAAAAGACAACAACAACA